rnacentral:SRP_RNA from 1 species
AAUGGGACUAGUCCGGGUUGCUUGGCGUAACCUGUUACCUGAAACUGUCAAUACGCAGGGGACGAAGUUUGAGGACGGCUGAGUCAGUCCUUUCAAUAUUGUAUAUUUCCGACGUUGAUAUCUUGUCCUGCAAGGUCGGUGGAUAAGAUGGGUUUAUCCGGAGGGAUAAACUCGCUUACUGCUGCGGGCACCGGUUCAGGCCCGGAAGGGAGCAGACCUCACCGCAGACGCACGGCGCCUGCAGGGUUGCGGGGUGGAGAAGGAGUAUACAGGAAAGAUCGGAUAUGCGCUUCCAACCGAAAACGUGUCCCGUU